UGGGGAAUAUUGCACAAUGGGCGCAAGCCUGAUGCAGCCAUGCCGCGUGUAUGAAGAAGGCCUUCGGGUUGUAAAGUACUUUCAGUCGGGAGGAAGGUGGUAAGGUUAAUAACCUUGGCAAUUGACGUUACCGACAGAAGAAGAACCGGCUAACUCCGUGCCAGCAGCCGCGGUAAUACGGAGGGUGCAAGCGUUAAUCGGAAUUACUGGGCGUAAAGCGCACGCAGGCGGUUUGUUAAGUCAGAUGUGAAAUCCCCGGGCUCAACCUGGGAACUGCAUCUGAUACUGGCAAGCUUGAGUCUCGUAGAGGGGGGUAGAAUUCCAGGUGUAGCGGUGAAAUGCGUAGAGAUCUGGAGGAAUACCGGUGGCGAAGGCGGCCCCCUGGACGAAGACUGACGCUCAGGUGCGAAAGCGUGGGGAGCAAACAGG
rnacentral:rRNA from 1 species